GACACUGUGGCCGAGUGGUUAAGGCGACAGACUCGAAUUUGUUCAUGAUCCGAUAUCUGUUUCAUUCGUGAGCGCAGGUUCAAAUCCUGCCGGUGUCG